rnacentral:rRNA from 1 species
AUUGAACGCUGGCGGUAUGCUUAACACAUGCAAGUCGAACGAUGAGAAAGAGCUUGCUCUUUCGAUUAGUGGCGGACGGGUGCGUAACGCGCAGGAAUCUACCCAUUAGGGGGGGACAACUUAGGGAAACUUAAGCUAAUACCGCAUACGCCCUACGGGGGAAAGAAGGGGAUCGCAAGACCUUUUGAUAAUAGAUGAGACUGCGUAGGAGUAGCUAGUUGGUGGGGUAAAAGCGCACCAAGGCGACGAUCCUUAACUGGUUUGAGAGAAUGCUCAUUCACACUGGAGCUGAGACCAGGUCCAGACUCCUACGGGAGGCAGCAGUGGAGAAUAUUGGACAAUGGGCGAAAGCCUGAUCCAGCAAUACCGCGUGUGUGAAGAAGGCCUUAGGGUUGUAAAGCACUUUCAAUUGGAAGGAAAACCUCGAAGCUAAUACCUUCGAGUUUGACAUUACCUUUAGAAGAAGCACCGGCUAACUCCGUGCCAGCAGCCGCGGUAA